ACCUUCGUGGUGUAGUGGUAAGCACACUCGGCGUUUAUUCGAGAGAUCCGUGUUUCGAGUCCCGGAGAAGGCA
rnacentral:tRNA from 1 species